AAAUAAAAGUGAUGCUUCCAUUUCAGUCAAAAGUUUGUUGGGUUUGGGUAUCCAAAUUCAAUUCCCCCGUUUCCUUUCUUCGCUCCCGGUAGGACUCCCUCUUACAUUCAUCUCCCCAUCCAUGGAUCAAACUCUCCAUAUCCAACGUUUCCAACUUCCCCCUUCGCCCUCUGAUUUCGACUCUCUCAUCGAAUCUCGCAACGUUCCCGCUAUUCUUGUAGGAUGCGUCAAGGACUGGAGAGCUUUAUCGGAGUGGAAUCCAUACGAUGGCGGUCUUGACAAUCUCCAGGAAUGCGCAGGGUCAUGCAUUGUGGAAGCUAUGCUCACUAGAACGGCUCCUGUGUUUUAUGGCGACCUUAGAAGCCAUGAUAGAGUUCCGAUUCCAUUUUCUACCUUUAUUCAAAUUUGUAAGCAGCGUCUGCUAGAAAAGAGUCAAGGAAAUGUCGUUUCUUCCGAGUUAAAUUCUAACAGGAUGACCGGUCCUGAUUUGGAGAAAGAGUGUUUGCCUUUUGAAGAUGAUCCUCAAAAAUUAUACUUAGCACAGGUGCCAAUUUUGGAUGUUAUAAAUGAAGAAAGGGCACAAUUGGAAUCACUGAGAAAAGAUAUUCAAACACCUGCAUUUCUGGAGAAAAAGAAGUUAGCCUCUAUAAACCUUUGGAUGAACAGUGCUCUAUCCAGGUCAAGUACUCACUAUGACCCACACCACAACGUUCUCUGCAUAGUUUCUGGCAGAAAACAAGUAAUUCUGUGGCCCCCAUCUGCAACUCCCUCACUGUACCCGAUGCAUAUUUAUGGAGAGGCCUCUAAUCAUAGCUCUGUUUCUUUAGAAAAGCCCGACUAUUCACUUUAUCCAAGAGCAAAAUAUUCAAAGGAAUUCUCUCAGACAGUUGUUCUUCAAGCUGGUGAUGCACUUUUUAUUCCAGAAGGGUGGUUUCAUCAGGUUGAUAGUGAUGAUUUAACCAUUGCUGUUAACUUUUGGUGGCAAUCACACAUGAUGUCCAGCAUGCCAGACCACAUGGAUUCAUAUUACUUGCGUAGAAUAUUGAGAAGAUUGAUGGACAGAGAAAUGAACGAAGUUCUGCGUGUGCCUUGCUCUCUUGCUGAGAUGGAUGAAACGAAGAGCCAUGAGCCUGACAUAUCAAAUAUCAAAGGGAUGGAUCAAGGUGUUCAAUGUUUGAGUCAAGCAUUUGGAGGUGAGGAUUUGAAGGAGAAAGAGCUAGGGGAAGAAACUUUUUCUCAUGAACUUGAACUUCGCAGUGCCCGAGCUCUGCAUGGGCUUAUUACUUUAGUUCAUGACCACGUAAGUGUUUCCGAUCAAAUUGGUGUCCUACAAUCUAGUUCUACAAAUGGUUCUGCAGACGGGGAGGAGAGUAUGAAGUUCACUAGUUUAAAUAGCUUGGAGAACGAUCAAGUAGCUAUCACUAUUUGGAAUUUGGAACCAUGCAUUCUUCAGAAGGUCCUUCUCACCAUGGCAAAUAACUUCCCAAGAACUCUAGAGGCUCUUAUACUGCACUUGCUUUCACCAGUUGGAGCAGAGGUUCUUACUCGAAAAUUUGAUCAGAUGGAUCAACAAAACACCGAGGAAGAUCAGAAAAGAUUCUACGAAGUUUUCUAUAGUUCAUUUGAUGAUCAAUUUGCUGUGAUGGAUGCAAUUCUAAACAGGAAAGAGUCUUUUGCCCGUCAGGUGUUUAAGAGUGUGCUGGAUAAAUAUGUGGGAGUAAACUUAAAUGGGCCAAAUCCGGGAACUUGAGGAAGUCCUUUAAAGAAAUUGGUCCUGCAGAUUCUGGAGCAUAUCGAUGCUAUCCAUUUUCUAAAGCUUUUCCUCAAUUGGUUAAGCUGCCUACUAAAGGUUGUGAUGUGGGGAAUAUGCACAGAAAUUUAUAAAGGCUUCUCUUAGCAACAACAACAAAAGAAAAGACUCACCACAGAAUUGCAAUUCAAACUUCCGGAGCUCUUUGUUGGUAUCAUUUUCAUCCCCGUUGACAUUUUUUCUUUACUGUCUUUAAUUUUUUUUAUUUUUUUCUUCUUUUCUUUUCUUUUUCUUUUCUUUUUCUUCCUUUAGGUUUUAGUUUGCAUCAGUACCUAAGUCCCGGACCACCACCACAAACCAUCACUCACUGAGGCACAAAUUCACAUAAUACCAAACUUAGUUUGCCUUUAUUUUUUAAGAGAACAAAAAAAAAAAAAAAAAAGAAAGAAAGAAAAAAAGACUCGCACUUGUAACCAAUUUUUACUGCUCCUCCUUCUGACUUUAGAAAAGGCUACUCUAUUAUAAUAUUUCCAGUAAUUCUUAGUACCUCUAGAAAAGUUGUGAAGAAAAAGAAAUUCUUGGGAUUUGAUCUUUUCAACUCGAAUUUCACCCAUGGUGUGGAAAAAAGAAUGUUUAUCUUCCCCAUCCAUUUUCCACGGUCUUCGAGUCUCCCUCUCUUUUCCAACUUAUUGCCAUUUGCUUUUGCCAAUUCUUGCCUAUGAUUGUAAUGGUAAAAUAAGGUUGAAUCUCUGAUAGGACAAAUAAUUUGAGUGUUGCACGAAUUGGUUGGUUUGAUUUGGUUUUUCCCACUUCCAACUUUGGUGGCUAAAUUUGGAUUUUUCGAACAUGGUCUUCUUCAUUGACAUUAAGAUUUUAGUUACUUUUUUA